UUUCUUCUAGAUUUGAUUGCUCCGAAACUGGCUUGAUCGGGAAGAUAAAGACUGAAACAGUAGUAGUGACAUGUCUUUACAAAAUGAGCCUUUAACAGGCCGAUUAGCACUCUUAUCCAAAUUACCUCAUCGUCUCUUUGUUUCUCCAAGCCGUUGUGAAUUUACUUGUAAGCUCUCGAUCACACAACAAUGGUGGCGUCUUCGCGAUGUCUAUAAAAUUCCGCAAUUUGCUCUCUUCCUAAUGUAUCUUCGCAGCCGCUACUCUCAUUCUCCCACUCUCUGAGGCCAUUCAUCUCCCAGUCGAAGCCUAUUGCCUCGAUACAACAACAACAACCACAGAAGAGAGAUGGCUCGCAACUUGUGGUGAAGUCUCAGGCUCUUGCUUUCUCCGGCACUUUCUUUGAAGGUGGAUUCGGGUCGGACGGUCUUGAGACCAGAUAUGUCUGAAGAUGAGCGGCUUGGUCUUACCCAGAAAUACGAAGAGGUAAGUAAAAGUCUCCAAAUUUUACAUGUUUUGUGUUUGCGAGAAACCGAGAUUUUGGGAUUCAAUUAGAUACUGAGCUUACUUACAUUUUUCAAAAACCGAAACUUGAAACUGUCUGUAAUAGUAUAGAUAAAUGUUGCAUUUUGUGUCGGUUCUUGCACGGUGAGUACAGGCAAAAUCUUCUAGAGACCAUGAAUAUUGUGUAUGUGUAAGAAAAACGGCAGAUUCUUUCUUCUUCUUCUUUUUUGUUGCUCCGAAGAACAUAAAAAGUAAAUCGCUGGAAGCAUUCUUGUAUGCAUUUUCCUAAAGAGAAUAUAAUUUAACCCAUCGGAAUAUAGCAUUAGAAUGAAAUGAUAAAUCUCAUAUUAGCUCUGUUCCUUUGCACAAUUUGACAUGAAUGAUUGCAAGUUGGCCACAAAGAAAACAAUUGUGUCUUCCUCGAGAUUAAUUGAU
rnacentral:lncRNA from 1 species